rnacentral:lncRNA from 1 species
UAGCUUACAUUUCUGCCUGGGAGACUUACAAGCGCACAACAGGAUUAAUCCAUCAGCUCUGCUGGGCUGGGAGAGGGAGGGAGCCAGGCGGAGGAAGUAUCAAUGAUACCGCACUCCAGUGAGCACUGAAGAGGCUCCAUUCAUGGACCAACAAAACCUGGAAGAAGCCUCAGACUUAAUCAGCCAAGGAGGCUCCAGCAGCAGGAACAAAAGAAAUCAAAGCUUCACUGGGUAAUGCAGGCACAGCUUCUGUGUUCCUCCUGAGACCUGAACCCACUGGGUCCCC